CGUGGAAGAGGACUGAAGAGUCCAUUUUCGCAUUGUCAGGCUGGAACCAAUAUGGCUGAAUAUCUCUGCCAGGCGACCAAAAGAACAAGAGACCCCAUCCCUUUGUUCUGACUCUCGGGGACAAUCGCCUCUACUCCCUGACAUUCAACAUUGUGAAUGGGCAGGAUCUGGAGCAGAAAACAUUAUGUUUCGUUGUUGUUGUUUUACAUGAAUUCAUCUUGAAAAUUGAUACCUGGGAGUAGAUGGUAAAGUUUUUACUUUUCUUCAGCCCCGUUCCCCAGCUCUAAUUGGUAGGUCUGCUGUGAUUGUACAAUAAUGGAUUCUGCUUCUAAAGUGUUGGUUUAUUUGUGUGUUCCUUAUUUUUUGUUUAUCUUUUGCAUGACUUCAUUUUGUAGCUGAAAUUAAUAUCUGAA
rnacentral:lncRNA from 1 species